rnacentral:rRNA from 1 species
UACGUAGGGUCCGAGCGUUGUCCGGAAUUACUGGGCGUAAAGAGCUCGUAGGCGGUUUGUCGCGUCUGCUGUGAAAACUCGGGGCUUAACUCCGGGCCUGCAGUGGGUACGGGCAGACUAGAGUGCGGUAGGGGAGACUGGAAUUCCUGGUGUAGCGGUGAAAUGCGUAGAGAUUUGGUGGAACACCGGUGGCGAAGGCGGGUCUCUGGGCCGAUACUGACGCUGAGGAGCGAAAGCGUGGGGAGCAAACAGG